rnacentral:rRNA from 1 species
CUCCUACGGGAGGCAGCAGUGGGAAUAUUGGACAAUGGGGCAACCUGAUCCAGCGACGCCGCGUGUGUGAAGAAGGCCUGCGGGUUGUAAAGCACUUUUAGUGGGAUGAAAUGUGCAGGGUUAAUACCUCUGCAUUUCGACCUAACCCACACGAAAAGCACCGGCUAACUCUGUGCCAGCCGCCGCGGUAAUAC